CCUACGGGUGGCAGCAGUGAGGAAUAUUGGUCAAUGGGCGCAAGCCUGAACCAGCCAAGUAGCGUGAAGGAAGACUGCCCUACGGGUUGUAAACUUCUUUUAUAAGGGAGUAAAUUGAGGCACGUGUGUCUUUUUGGAGGUACUUUAUGAAUAAAGAUCGGCUAACUCCGUGCCAGCCGCCGCGGUAAUACGGAGGGUCCGAGCGUUAACCGGAUUUAUUGGGUUUAAAGGGAUCGGAGGUGGGUUGAUAAGUUAGGUGUGAAAGUUCGUGGGUCAACCGUAGAACUGCAGUUGAUACUGGCGUACUAGAGUGGAGAAGAGGUAGGCGGAAUUCGUGGUGGAGCGGUGAAAUGCAUAGAUAUCACGAAGAACUCCGAUUGCGAAGGCAGCAUAC
rnacentral:rRNA from 1 species